UAGUUCAUACUAAGCGACCCAUAGUUUGAGGAGGUGGUGACCAUGGCGGUGGAGGAGUAAGAAGCCAACACUGUAUUUUAUGUUUUUUUUUAGUUUUUUUAAUUGUGGUAGCCCCCAAAAUAUUGGGACAUAUAAAAAAAAGACAACUGUUCCGCAGAGUAGCUGUUGACAUUAUAGUUGUGCAGGAACUUUGUUGACUCUAGAGAACCUCAGGCAAAUCGCACAUUCCCGUGGCGGCGACUUUGCAUGCGGAUGUCAUCCAUAUCAACUUUCGAUGCCAGUUUCUGCGCCUACCAUGGUGACCAUGGGUAACAGGGAAUUAGCAUUCCAUACAGGGACCCUGAGAAUCGGCUACCACAUGCAAGGAAGGCAGCAGGCGCAAAUGACCCACUCCCAACACGGGAAGGCAGUGACGAUAAAUAACAAUACUGGACUCUUUAGAGGCCCUGUAAUUGUAAUGAGUCCACUUGAAAUCCUUUAACUCUGAUCAAUUGGAGGGAAGUCUGGUGCAGAGCCACUGACCCGUGCUUGCUGCAAC
rnacentral:rRNA from 1 species